AAGUCGUAACAAGGUUUCCGUAGGUGAACCUGCGGAAGGAUCAUUACAGAGGUUUAUCCUUAUUUUGUGAAUUUUAUAUCUGGUGUGUAUGUUUGUGAGUAAGAACGAGUGCGGAGCACGAGUUGAUAUCAAUCGUGAAAGCAAUGAGUCGAACCAUUCAGUCCAAACACCAACAUAUGCACCAAACUUUACACAACAUAACGUACUGAAAAAGAAUGAAAA
rnacentral:misc_RNA from 1 species